AACGAACGCUGGCGGCAUGCCUAACACAUGCAAGUCGAACGAGACCUUCGGGUCUAGUGGCGCACGGGUGCGUAACGCGUGGGAACCUGCCCUUAGGUUCGGAAUAACUCCCCGAAAGGGGUGCUAAUACCGGAUAAUGUCUUCGGACCAAAGAUUUAUCGCCUUUGGAUGGGCCCGCGUUGGAUUAGCUAGUUGGUAGGGUAAAAGCCUACCAAGGCGACGAUCCAUAGCUGGUCUGAGAGGAUGAUCAGCCACACUGGGACUGAGACACGGCCCAGACUCCUACGGGAGGCAGCAGAGGGGAAUAUUGGACAAUGGGGGAAAGCCUGAUCCAGCAAUGCCGCGUGAGUGAUGAAGGCCUUAGGGUUGUAAAGCUCUUUUACCCGGGAUGAUAAUGACGGUACCGGGAGAAUAAGCGCCGGCUAACUACGUG
rnacentral:rRNA from 1 species